AACUAACAAAAUUCAGAAGCAAAAUUCUCUUCUCUAAAAUUAUUUUCUUCUUCAGCAGAAGCUUUGGUUGUUCCAUGAUGGUUUCAAAGUCCGUAAGAAUUACAGGCUCAGGUAUGGGCUUAUUAAGUAUUUUGGAGAGUGCGUGGGUCAUUGUAUUUUAUUUUGAUGGAUAAGAAUCUGUCAAGCUGCUUUGAUAUCUUCGAGACGGAGGUUGAUUACCAAGGAUGCUCAUCCUUAUAUUGAAUCACUUGCUAAGGUUUGAGUAUCUCAAUUGAUCGACAAAUGAGGUUCUGAAUCUUGCUAGCUGAAUCCCGCAUCAAGGCUUCCUCUUUUUGUUUCUUAUAUCCUGUUCUUGUGGAAGGUUAAAAUAUAAGUCUUCAUUGUUGGACCAGACGCAUCCAGGCCCCUAAGGUUACUGAAGAGAAUGCUAUCAGUGUUUCCAAAAGUUGUCACUUGCUCAUGGAUUUUCUUUUCUUGAGGGUAAUGUUGAGGCCAAGAGGAGAUGCUGAAGAGGCAGGGCGUGAUGCAGAAGUUUGCAACUACCAUACUUUGCAAGGAGGAUUUCCCAAAUUUUAUAGCAGGACGACCCCAGGUCGCUUAGGUAAUAUGGACCUAGCUCUCAUCAAAAACCAACUUACUGAGGAAGCACCGACCGGAUCUUAGAAAGAUCAAAAGCCGAGAAUAUUCAGAUCCCUCAAGUUACUGAAGAUAAUGCAUUGUUCCCAAAAGUUCUGACACUUGCUCAUGCAUUUUCUCUUCUUGACGAUAAGGUUGAGGCCCAAAAAGAGAUGCUGAAGAGGGCAACUGAUCAGUGGACCUGCUAGCAGGUACUGAGCAGAACCGCAGGUCACUUAAGUAUAAAUAUAUGGACUUAGCUCUCAUCAAUUGCCAACUUACAAAGGAAGCGCUGACGGGAUCUUAGAAAGAUCAAAAGCCAAGGUUAUUCAGGUGAUGAGGAACUAUUUUAACAAUACUUGCUUAGUAAUAUUAGAUUUGUAAGGUGAUAAAGUAGGUUUCUAACAAUGAACAUCGUAAGUUUUGUUGUUUUACAAUGAAGAAAUCGAAGAUGUAUAACCCUUGCAUUAGUAGGAAUUUUUUUUUCUAUUGAAAUUGAGCUUACAGAGAUG